UUACACAUGCAAGUCGAGCGGAAACGAUGAUAGCUUGCUAUCAGGCGUCGAGCGGCGGACGGGUGAGUAAUACUUAGGAAUCUACCUAGUAGUGGGGGAUAGCUCGGGGAAACUCGAAUUAAUACCGCAUACGACCUACGGGAGAAAGGGGGCAACUUGUUGCUCUCGCUAUUAGAUGAGCCUAAGUCGGAUUAGCUAGAUGGUGGGGUAAAGGCCUACCAUGGCGACGAUCUGUAGCUGGUCUGAGAGGAUGAUCAGCCACACCGGGACUGAGACACGGCCCGGACUCCUACGGGAGGCAGCAGUGGGGAAUAUUGGACAAUGGGGGCAACCCUGAUCCAGCCAUGCCGCGUGUGUGAAGAAGGCCUUUUGGUUGUAAAGCACUUUAAGCAGUGAAGAAGACUCCGUGGUUAAUACCCACGGACGAUGACAUUAGCUGCAGAAUAAGCACCGGCUAACUCUGUGCCAGCAGCCGCGGUAAUACAGAGGGUGCAAGCGUUAAUCGGAAUUACUGGGCGUAAAGCGAGCGUAGGUGGCUUGAUAAGUCAGAUGUGAAAUCCCCGGGCUUAACCUGGGAACUGCAUCUGAUACUGUUAGGCUAGAAUAGGUGAGAGGAAGGUAGAAUUCCAGGUGUAGCGGUGAAAUGCGUAGAGAUCUGGAGGAAUACCGAUGGCGAAGGCAGCCUUCUGGCAUCAUAUUGACACUGAGGUUCGAAAGCGUGGGUAGCAAACAGGAUUAGAUACCCUGGUAGUCCACGCCGUAAACGAUGUCUACUAGUCGUUGGGUCCCUUGAGGACUUAGUGACGCAGCUAACGCAAUAAGUAGACCGCUGGGGGAGUACGGCCGCAAGGUUAAAACUCAAAUGAUUGACGGGGGCCCGCACAGCCGGUGGAGCAUGUGUUUAUUCGAUGCACGCGAGACUACUGUCUUGACAUAUCUAGAUCUGCAAGAUGCGGGAGUGCUCGGAUAGAAACAGGUGCUGCAUGCUGUCGUCAGCUCGUCUGGAAUGUGGUUAGUCGCACGAGCCGACCUUGUCCUA
rnacentral:rRNA from 1 species